ACGGCGAACCCGACCGCGCGAACGGCGGACCCGACCGCGCGAACGGCGGACCGCGCGAACAGCGGACCGAUUGCAGUACCCUCCUCUAAGAGAAAUAGAGAUCGGAUGGACAAAUACAGAUCAACAGAAGAGAUUCUUGUGUCCUAGAAACCAAAGAAAGAGUCAGCAAGAAUGCCCAGGGUGAAUGAUGGAUUGCAGAGCCUGGCUGGCACAUUUUGUGCCCUCCCCACCUCCAAAUUGCCUCAGUUACAAAUCGGAAGGCAGGCUUGGUGACCAGGACUGGCAAGCACAUUUUAAAGUCCCAUGCUGUGGAGUUGAUCCAUCUCAACUUGAGUCAGAAGAGGCAGAAGUGGAUGUGAGAGAAAGAGACACACAGAGAGACAGAGAGCCAAAGAGGGCAAGAGACUUGACUUUAAGAGACUCCUGUACUGACAACUCCAUGCAGUUCGGAACCAGAACGACUGCGGCUGGACCAGGGUUCAUGGGGACAUGGCAAAAUGCUGAUACUAACCUCUUAUUCAGAAUGUCCCAACAGGAUAUGUUAUCCCUAAUUGCGGGAAGGGGCCAAAGUUCAUAUCAAAUAUUCCGAUUCGUACCAGAAAAACCACACUGGUCCCUGAGGGAUAAGAUUUACACUGAACUACAUAUUAACUGUAGUGAAGAAUCUGUGCUCACAGUAGCUUCCGUUUUAAAGGUCUUUAGGUUAAAGGGCUGAGUCAGGAGACUUCAUCUGGAAUGCUGAAAUCAAAGGUGAACUUCCUGGUUGUGCAGGUGCAGGCUGGCUCGGGACGGCUUGACUGAACUCAUUGUUGUUUCCCAUUGCUCCUUGCUGCCAGGCCUUCAUGUCUGGUGACUGGUACCCAGAAGUGGGCGGGGUUUGUUGGAGCAGAGAGCUUGCUGGAGGGGUGCCGGGCAUCUGCACCAUGGAGCCCCCAGGGCUCAGCAUCGGGGUGAAGCUGGCCUCGACUUGGGGAACCAGUCCUGAUCCCGGAUACUGGAAGACAUUCUGCUGCAUCUGAGGACAGGGCCAGAAAGCCGGCUGUGCAUACCCUGAUGAGGAAACCGUAAACAGCAUCUUUCACCAGGCUCUGCAUCAGCUCCUGCUUCUAGGUUUCUGCAAUGAGUUCAUGUCCUGGUUGCAUUCAAUAUGGGCUAUAGUGAGGAUGUGUAAGUUAAAUGAACUCUUUCCUCCCCUCCCAAAACUUAAGAAAUGAAGAAAAUAGUUGGAUUAUUCAUUUCUAAUCCACCUUUCAGGAACUAUUCAUUAUUUCCUUUUGUGAUAUA